GACGAACGCUGGCGGCGUGCUUAACACAUGCAAGUCGAACGGUAAGGCCCUUCGGGGUACACGAGUGGCGAACGGGUGAGUAACACGUGGGUGAUCUGCCCUGCACUUCGGGAUAAGCCUGGGAAACUGGGUCUAAUACCGGAUAGGACUCCGGACUGCAUGGUCUGGGGUGGAAAGCUUUUGCGGUGUGGGAUGGGCCCGCGGCCUAUCAGCUUGUUGGUGGGGUGAUGGCCUACCAAGGCGACGACGGGUAGCCGGCCUGAGAGGGUGACCUGCCAGACUGGGACUGAGAUACGGCCCAGACUCCUACGGGAUGCAGCAGUGGGGAAUAGUGCACAAUGGGCGCAAGCCUGAUGCAGCGACGCCGCGUGAGGGAUGACGGCCUUCGGGUUGUAAACCUCUUUCAGCAUCGACGAAGCGAAAGUGACGGUAGGUGCAGAAGAAGGACCGGCCAACUACGUGCCAGCCGCCGCCGUAA
rnacentral:rRNA from 1 species